rnacentral:lncRNA from 10 species
UCAGCCUCCAGCGAAGCCCCCCACAUCGGUGUCCAGGGGCUCAGGCUCCCAGGCAGCACUCCAGACCCUUACUCCAAAUUCGAGUGCCCCAAACGCUACUGAGGAGACAAUUAGAAAGAGAAAGGUGAUGCCUGCAGCCUGCCAGGGAGGGGACUGAGCCACCCACUAUGAGGGCAGCGCCUUGGGCACAGCUGAGCCACCGGUCACUCCUCAGUCUAGAGGCCACCAUAGGUGGUCACACCUGCCCCUACCCCUGAAGACAGCCAAAGGCAGGUGGUGGCUGAGCACAGGGCUGGGCACAUGUUGACCACCAAACCCUGCCUUCUGCAGGGACUUGGGCACGUCUCUGGGCCACCUGCAGGUGCUGUGGCUGGCUCGCUGUGGCCUCGCUGACCUGGAUGGCAUCGCCUCUUUGCCAGCACUUAAGGUGAGUCUGGGCACCCUGGGCUGGGGAGGCCUGGGCUGGGCCGGGCCCUGGCUCAGAGCCCCGCGCUGCCCAGGAACUCUACGCCUCCUACAACAACAUCUCGGACCU